UGGGGGGAUAUUGCACAAUGGAGGAAACUCUGAUGCAGCAACGCCGCGUGAAGGAUGAAGGUCUUCGGAUUGUAAACUUUUGUAUUUGGGGACGAUAAUGACGGUACCCAAGCAGCAAGCUCCGGCUAACUACGUGCCAGCAGCCGCGGUAAUACGUAGGGAGCAAGCGUUGUCCGGAUUUACUGGGUGUAAAGGGUGCGUAGGCGGCCAUACAAGUCAGUUGUGAAAACUAUGGGCUCAACCCAUAGCCUGCAAUUGAAACUGCGUGGCUUGAGUGAAGUAGAGGUAGGUGGAAUUCCCGGUGUAGCGGUGAAAUGCGUAGAGAUCGGG
rnacentral:rRNA from 1 species